UUUCCUUUCUCUAGACUGCUGAUCUGAUCGUCUCAAGUCUGAGUGAACAGAUCUUUGGUUUUGCCUUUGCUGACUGCUGAUCUGAUCGUCUCAAGUCUGGUAAGUAAAGGUUUUGUCUGAGGUACAGUGCUGGGAAAAGUCUUUCUUCCUUGCAGAUUAUUUUUUUCAUGCUUUUUUUGUCACGUUUCAAAUCAUCUAACAAGGAUGACCUGGAUAAAUACAAAAAAGCAGUUUUAAAGUGAUGAUUUCAUGUAUGAAGCAGAGAAAACCAAACCAGAGCUAUCUGUUCUCUAAUACCCAGCUGUGAAAGCCCUGAUAGCAACAACUACCAUCAAGCGUUUAUAGUAACUAGUAAUGACUGAUUUACAACACUGGGGGAUUUUG
ensembl:lncRNA